rnacentral:rRNA from 1 species
CCUACGGGUGGCAGCAGUAGGGAAUCUUCCACAAUGGGCGAAAGCCUGAUGGAGCAACGCCGCGUGGGUGAAGAAGGUUCUCGGAUCUGAAAACCCCUUUUUUAGAGAAGAAAGUGCGUGAGAGUAACUGUUCACGUUUCGACGGUAUCUAACCAGAAAGCCACGGCUAACUACGUGCCAGCAGCCGCGGUAAUACGUAGGUGGCAAGCGUUAUCCGGUUUUAUUGGGCGUAAAGGGAACGCAGGCGGUCUUUUAAGUCUGAUGUGAAAGCCUUCGGCUUAACCGGAGUAGUGCAUUGGAAACUGGGAGACUUGAGUGCAGGAGAGGGAAGUGGAACUCCAUGUGUAGCGGUGAAAUGCGUAGAUAUAUGGAAGAACACCAGUGGCGAAGGCGGCUCUCUGGUCUGUAACUGACGCUGAGGUUCGAAAGCGUGGGUAGCGAACAGGAUUAGAUACCCGAGUAGUC